ensembl:lncRNA
UUUUAUUCAAAAUGCCCAUGGUUUGACAUAAUUUGAUGUGGAGUAAUUGGGGUUAGGUGUCUUGCGCAGUGACACUUCGACUUGGCAUAGGGAGCAGCCAGGAUUCAAACCGCCAACCUUGUGCUGCACAGCACACCCUCCCUAUCCCAUGCGCCGCCUUCGCUGUCAUUUCAGUGGCCGGAAUUUUAUCCAGAACAGGCGUGCAAUUCAACAUCGGAGGAGUUUCUCAUUGCCUCGUCUCUCCAAGUAACGUUGAGGGAUUAAGGACGCCAGCCGUUUGCUGUGGUCAAUUGAAAGUGUUCCAUAGCGUAUUGUUGCAGUUAGUUUACCUUGUUCCUAAUGAUUUUAUCAUUCAUUUUUUAUUAUUG